GCACCUGGUACUGCCUCAACGACAAGAUUCCCUCGCAAAAGCGGGCAGAUUACUGUACGCGGUGGGCCGUUCUUUCCUUUGGAUCUGGUAGGCGGAGCGAUAUAUUGCACUGGCGGACUUAGGAGUGGAGGACUUGCAAAAAUGUAAGUCAGCGUGCGUUGGCUCAUAUGAGCAGAGCUUGCUUCCGCAUCUCGCUACUCUCCGUGCCUUGCUCGCCGGUCUGCUAGCUGCAGUACCCACGGGAGCCGGAGGUCAUCAAGGCGGCGUCGGUAAACCAUGUCCAUGGCCACAGGCCACAGCUGAGCUUCCUCCGCUGCCCGCCACUCGUGCCAUGGCAACGACAGAUAUUGAAAGCAUGCAAGUAGAGUUGCUGGCCGGUUAUUACAAAUCGAGGUUCAGCGUGGGAUAUAAAUAAUGGAUUUUCCUGUGUGUAUUAGGGUUGUUGUGGCGGCUGCUUCAUUCGUUUAUUCUUGUGACUUGUUGCUAGCGAUUGGAGUGAGCUGCUUUUGUGUGUGUGUGUGUGUCACCAUUUCGUGCUAUCAGACGUACGACAUGGAAAUGUGGUUGACUACUAUAUAUGGUACACAUACAUAUAAUAAUAAUCAUCUGUGUUGGUGAACGUGCCUCUGAUGAUUAAUUACUGGUGUUUUAUCAA